UCGGUUCCCUGGAAACUUCCAGUCCCCCAUCCCCUGCAGUCCUUCUCAAGGGAGUCCUUGACACUUAGACAGUAGGACACCAAGAAGUCUUCCUCGGCGUGAAGCGAGAUCCGGCCAUCAUGUGACUACUUUGUGUGCUGGGCUCCUAAGUUUUGCCAAGGGACGAGUGACCUAGGAUGUGCCGACAGGAUGGGAAGACCACUCGUUAGUCACCUCUGCGGGGAGCCAUAAGGGAGUCACUCAUGUGGGGUGCCUUCCCCUCUGGUAUCGGGAUGCCUGAGGCCCAAGGAUGAUGAGAGCUCAGCUGAGCAGACUGCAAAAUUGAGUCCUGUGAGGGCUGCGAUGUGAUGGAUCCUUCCAGGGUCGUCUCAGUCCAGGUGGCAGCUGGGGAGCGGAAGACCUCUCUCUCCUCCACACCCAGGUGGCAUUCCGGCGUGUUAGAGACCUGGCAAGACAGCAAGCAGAGCCGGCCACAGAAGGAGCGCUUACAGACAGGGUGAGAGGACUUGUCUGCAGGGUGCCCACCCCUCCCUCCAUCCCCCUUCCCCUUGUGGCCUCCAGACCGCCAUGUCCAGAAGGAGGGCCGGCCAGCACCUCCGCUCUGGACCAGUCCCCCACCAUCUCGUCCCUGGAUGAUCGCUCUCAACCCCAACGGGUGUCCCUCCCUGUCCACCCUCCUGCAGCAGUCGGGGGAUGCUGUCGGAACAGGCACCCCCGGGUCCUGUCCUCUGCUCAGAGCAAAGUCCAACACGUCACCCAGAAUCAAAGCUUGGUCCUUGAAACGACCCAGAGCCCAUCAACGAGGAAUAGUCCAGUCAAAACAUUGUGGUGCAUCUAUCCAAUGGCCCAUUACUCAGCUAUAAAGAGGCGUGAAGUUCUGACACACGUAAAACAUUGAUGAAGCCUGAAACCUUAUGCUAAGGGGAAAAGGCCAGACACAAAAGACCGCAUAUUGUAUGAUUUCAUCUCUGUGAAAUGUCCGGAAAUCUGUAGAGAUAGGAGGCAGAUUAGUGGUUUCCAGGGGCUGCAAGGAGGGAAGAGUGGGGAGCGACUGUUUAAUGGGAGUGGGGUUUCUAUCUGGAACCAUGAAAGUAUUCUGGAACCAGACGGUGAAGGUGGUUGCACAGCAGUAUGAAUGCACUUAAUGUUGCCGAAUUGUACACUUCGAAAUGGCUAAUUUUAUGUUACGUGAAUUCCACCUCAAUACAAGAUGUUUUAAAGCCUCGCAUUAAAAUAAGAACAGUGGCUAAGGUGAUAAAUAUUAUCGUUUGUGCAUUUUACCACACACGCGAGAAAACGAGUUAAGAUUUACCAUGUGCCGACCCUCUACAGCUCUCUCCUCCUACCGUCUUCUUGCUCUCCCAUGCCAGUCACACUCAACUCCUUCCAGGCCCUCUCACGCACCAGGAAUGCUUCUGCCUCAGGGCCUUUGCACCUACUGUUUGAGGCCUGCUCUUCCCCAGGUAUGGCUUCAAGUCUUGCUCAGCAAGCAGUUCCAGACCCUUCUAUUUAAAAUUGCAAACAUCUCCUCACUCAGCGCUUCAGAUGUCUCUUAGCUUGUUUUGUAUGUCUUCUUAUCAUAUCGCUUUUUUAUCUUACUCUCUCUCUCUCUCUCUCUCUCUCUCUCUCUCUCUCUCUCUCUCUUCCUGUACCAGAAUGCAAGCUCUUUGCAGGUAAAAUUUCUUAAAAUUGAUGUGCACCCAGGGUCUGACCCGUGCCCAAUACUCAGUAAAUGCUCGUACCUGGGUCAGUAGACUCACCCGGUGGCCCAUCUGCCUGCCCAGAGGCUCUAGCACCAUUCCCCUUGCCAAUCCAGUCUCUCCCCUCCCCCUCCCAAUCCUGUAGCCCCUCCUCCUCAGGGUCCCUGUCCUGCUCUUCCUUCUGCCUGAAGAGCCCACACUGUGCCUUCAUGGGAUUCUUCCUUUUUGUCCAUCACUAAGCCCUUCUCAUUCUUCCUUCAGGGAAAACCUGCUUUCUCCCCUUCCACAUCCAUCGUCAGUCCUGAAUCUCCCACGGCCAGUGACCCAGCCUGGAUUCUCGGUCCCGUUAGCCCCGAGCAAUCUUGUACAAGUGCAGAUCAGAUCAUGUCUCUCCAUUAGUUCUCGUUGCCCUUGGAAUAAAAUCCAAACUCCUUGCCAUGCCCUUGGGGGUCCCGAGUGACCCCUCCCCUCCCUACUCCCAGCUCAAGGGAGUGGCACUGGCUCUCCCCCUGGUUUUUACUGUCACUCAGGUGCGCGCUGGGCAGUCAGACGUCAAGCGGCCUUCCUUGCCCUCCCUCAGAAGCCUCCCUGCACCCAGCAGGCACCCGGCCUGGCGUCCUGCUUCAUUUCCAGCAUGGCCCCAAAUCUUCUCUCGUGGUGUGAGGCUAGGAGAGCAUGGAGUGGAUAUCUGGUGCAGACCAGCACUCUGCAGCCCCCACUGCUCUCUGAGAUCACCAGGGAACUUUUUUCCUUUUCAAUUUUUCAUUUAAAUUCUAGUUAGUUAACAUACAGUGCAAUAUUGGUUUCAGGAGUAGAGUUUGGUGAUCAUCCCUUACGUACAACACCCAGGGCUCAUCUUGCAAAUGACAUUUCGGUUAAAGGGUUAAGAUCUAAAAUCUACAAAGUACCUAUCAAACUCAGUACCC